rnacentral:snoRNA from 1 species
ACCUCGUGGUUGGGACAUUGCAUGAGCUUCCCAUUAAAUCUCUCCCAUACCUCAUAUAGAGUUUAUUCAUCCAAUUGAUGAAAAUUGGUGAUUUUAUAAAAAAAUU